rnacentral:rRNA from 1 species
AGUAAAAGUCGUAACAAGGUCUCCGUUGGUGAACCAGCGGAGGGAUCAUUACAGAGUUGCAAAACUCCCACAAAUCAUCGCGAAUCUUACCCGUACGGUUGCCUCGGCGCUGGCGGUCCGGAAAGGCCCUCGGGUCCUCCCGGAUCCUCGGGUCUCCCGCUCGCGGGAGGCUGCCCGCCGGAGUGCCGAAACUAAACUCUUGAUAUUUUAUGUCUCUCUGAGUAAACUUUUAAAUAAGUCAAAACUUUCAACAACGGAUCUCUUGGUUCUGGCAUCGAUGAAGAACGCAGCGAAAUGCGAUAAGUAAUGUGAAUUGCAGAAUUCAGUGAAUCAUCGAAUCUUUGAACGCACAUUGCGCUCGCCAAUAUUCUGGCGAGCAUGCCUGUUCGAGCGUCAUUUCAACCAUCAAGCUCUGCUUGCGUUGGGGAUCCGCGGCUGCCCGCGGUCCCUCAAAAUCAGUGGCGGGCUCGCUAGUCACACCGAGCGUAGUAACUCUACAUCGCUAUGGUCGUGCGGCGGGUUCUUGCCGUAAAACCCCCCAUUUCUAAGGUUGACCUCGGAUCAGGUAGGAAUACCCGCUGAACUUAAGCAUAUCAAUAAGCGGAGGAAAAGAAACCAACAGGGAUUGCCCCAGUAACG